rnacentral:lncRNA from 1 species
UAAAUAUAUAUUUUCUUUCUACCUCCUAGACCAAAACACUCAAUUAUAUUCAAAACCGAAUAAUCAUAUGCAUAAUUCAAAGAUAAUAUAUUAGGGAAUUAUACUUGGAUGAGAUUAAAUCUAUAAGCCAACCCAACUAGCUUAUAUCUAUAAACAUGCAACAUUUUAUAAUAAUUUUUUUUUUUUUCGGUUUCAAAGUUUCAAACAUUCAAGUAACAUCGUAGUUUGUGACCAACUAAAAAAUAGAGUAACAAUGUGACAACGCACCAAUACACAAGGCAUAUACUUAUACUUAUGCCAUUCAUAUCACUUUCUCAUAUGAUCUCUUGUUGUUUGGAUCCCAAAAAUCAAAGGUUGAACUUAAUAAAUUUUGAAUGGCUGAUUUUAUAGGCGGCUCUAACUAUUUUUUAAUGAACAUAUAAUGACUUGUUUUAGUACUAAGAAUUACAAAUUUAUACGUGGAUAGAGAACUCAAUAAAUAAAAUAUUUCUUGACCUUAAAAAAAAAAAAAACAAACUUGUUUGACUAGAGCAUCUCUCCUCUUUAAUUUUAAUUUUCGAAGUGAUUUUAUUUGAAUCUCUCAAUUUGCUCUUUUGACCUCACAUAAUCUUUAUACCCCACACAUUUUAGUGAAAUUUAAAAUUAUUAUCUACACCCAUUAUUUCUUUCUAAAUUACCCACACUAACUUAAACUCAUCAUGCACUUUUAUAUUCACACCCCAUCAGUUAGGGGUGGGCACCGUCCGGUUCGGGCCCGUUUUCGUCUCAAAUUAGAAUUGAAACAGGUACUAUUUACCUUAUUCAGUUCGAUCCAGUUUUAUAAAAAUAAAAAAUUAUAAAACUAUUCGAUUCGAGUUG